UGGGGAAUUUUGGACAAUGGGCGAAAGCCUGAUCCAGCAAUGCCGCGUGUGUGAAGAAGGCCUUCGGGUUGUAAAGCACUUUUGUCCGGAAAGAAAUCCUUGGCUCUAAUACAGUCGGGGGAUGACGGUACCGGAAGAAUAAGCACCGGCUAACUACGUGCCAGCAGCCGCGGUAAUACGUAGGGUGCAAGCGUUAAUCGGAAUUACUGGGCGUAAAGCGUGCGCAGGCGGUUGCUAAGACCGAUGUGAAAUCCCCGGGCUCAACCUGGGAACUGCAUUGGUGACUGGCAGGCUAGAGUAUGGCAGAGGGGGGUAGAAUUCCACGUGUAGCAGUGAAAUGCGUAGAGAUGUGGAGGAAUACCGAUGGCGAAGGCAGCCCCCUGGGCCAAUACUGACGCUCAUGCACGAAAGCGUGGGGAGCAAACAGGAUUAGAUACCCUGGUAGUCCACGCCCUAAACGAUGUCAACUAGUUGUUGGGGAUUCAUUUCCUUAGUAACGUAGCUAACGCGUGAAGUUGACCGCCUGGGGAGUACGGUCGGCAAGAUUAAAACUCAAAUGAAUUGACGGGG
rnacentral:rRNA from 1 species